GAUGAACGCUGGCGGCAUGCCUAAUACAUGCAAGUCGAGCGAACGGACGAGAAGCUUGCUUCUCUGAUGUUAGCGGCGGACGGGUGAGUAACACGUGGAUAACCUACCUAUAAGACUGGGAUAACUUCGGGAAACCGGAGCUAAUACCGGAUGAUAUUUUGAACAGCAUGGUUCAAAAGUGAAAGACGGUCUUGCUGUCACUUAUAGAUGGAUCCGCGCUGCAUUAGCUAGUUGGUAAGGUAACGGCUUACCAAGGCAACGAUGCAUAGCCGACCUGAGAGGGUGAUCGGCCACCCUGGAACUGAGACACGGUCCAGACUCCUACGUGAGGCAGCAGUAGGGAAUCUUCCGCAAAGGGCGAAAGCCUGACGGAGCAACGCCGCGUGAGGGAUGAAGGUCUUCGGAUCGUAAAACUCUGUUAUUAGGGAAGAACAUAUGUGUACGUAACUGUGCACAUCUUGACGGUACCUAAUCAGAAAGCCACGGCUAACUACGUG
rnacentral:rRNA from 1 species